rnacentral:misc_RNA from 1 species
CUCCCAUAUUGUCAUUCCUGUACCCCUUUUAUAACCUAAUCUCUCCACACGCCUUCUUACACUAAUUUCCAAGUCUUCCUCUAUCAACCAUCUUCACAAAUCUUCUGUUAGUAACAGACUAUCGUUUCUUCCCCUUCCAUUCUGUUAGAGCUCAUUUUCCCUCUUCUGGAGUAGACUUUAAAUGCUCUAGGGUCUGGCUCUUU